UAACAAUAUAGUUUAUAAAGAAUGAUGGGUUUGCGUCUCAAUGGUGGAUUAGUUCCUUUUGUUAU
rnacentral:tRNA from 1 species